AUUGAACGCUAGCGGGCUGCCUUACACAUGCAAGUCGCACGGAGUGGCGAACGGGUGAGUAAUGUAUCGGAACGUGCCCAGUAGCGGGGGAUAACUACGCGCAAGCGUAGCUAAUACCGCCUACUAUUGGAGCGGCCGAUAUCGGAUUAGCUAGUUGGUGGGGUAACGGCUCACCAGGGCGACGAUCCGUAGCUGGUUUGAGAGGACGACCAGCCACAUGGGGACUGAGACACGGACCGGACUCCUACGGGAGUCAGCAGGGGGGAUUGUGGGAAAAUUGAGAAAACCCUGAGCCAGCCAGCCCUCGUGUGCGAUGAAGGCCUUCGGGUUGUAAAGCACUUGAAGCAGGAAAGCGGUACCGGCAGAAUAAGCAAAGGCUAACUACGAGCCAGCAGCCGCGGUAAUUC
rnacentral:rRNA from 1 species